rnacentral:rRNA from 1 species
UACAGAGGGGGCAAGCGUUGUCCGGAUUUAUUGGGCGUAAAGCGCGUGUAGGCGGCCACGCAGGUCCGCUGUGAAAACUCGAGGCUCAACCUCGAGAUGUCGGUGGAAACCGCGUGGCUAGAGUCCGGAAGAGGAGAAUGGAAUUCCUGGUGUAGCGGUGAAAUGCGCAGAUAUCAGGAAGAACACCCGUGGCGAAGGCGGUGGUCUGGGCCGGCACUGACGCUGAGGAGCGAAAGCGUGGGGAGCGAACAGG